GAAAUUGGCAAAAACACACAGUUAGUGGAAUGACAAGCAGAAUUGGACUAAAAGCUUCUCAGUGUUUUGCUUUGAAUUAAAAAUGACGAAAUAAGCCUUUGGAUGUGACUAGCAAAUGUAAAAGCUUGAAGAGAACCAACGCACAUGUUAUUGGGCCAGCAAAGUCAAGGUGUUGAUUGUUGAGACAUGGACUAUCUGAUUGUUCUAUAAGAUUUUGCUAGGAAAUUUUUCGUUUUGAUGAGUUAUUACGCUUUGGUAUAUUGACCUUCCUGCUAUGAACAAUUCUACCUCCAAUGAUGGUUCUGAGUCUCUAAACUGCUAGAGCAUGCCGGAUCGAGCUUCUCCUCACCGAGAGCUCCCCGUGGCAAGAUUCGGUCAGGUUUUUGCCUCCCGGAGUGCUCGAGGUUUAGGGUUCGUACUUGCCAGCUAUAAAUUGCUCCGAGUAGCUCUCUGAUGGCGGCCCAGCUAAGUGCUAUCUCAUCUCUUCUUUUCUUUGGCCGUUCUUUCGUUUCAGGGGCUUCAUUUACGUAUAUUGUUCGAUUGGAUCUGCGGAACAUCGCCAAGUUCUUUUCUUUAUAGCUAAAUCAGAUUAAUAUAUUUUUUGUUUGAUAAGUUUCCUUUUUUCCGUUUAUUUAGUCUUCUUGCAGAUAAUUAGCUUCGUCUGCGUUUGCGGGACACGAAGUACAUAUAGGAAAAGUCUAUGGGACAAAGAAAGAAUGAAGAAGUUGCAACUUGUUAUUGGUAGAAGACUAUGACUUCUUAAUGUAAAGGUCCAUCACAAAUGGCUUCUUCUAAGCUAUCUGUUCUCAUCGUUGGUCUCCUGGUUUUAUCUCUUGUCAUGCUUGUGGCAUCCACUGAAAACCCAAUUAACGAGCCAAAAGCAACCUGCGUAUCUAUCGGGGUGCCAUGCAAGUCGGAUGGUGAUUGUUUCGGGCCAUGCGGACGCUUUGGUUCUCUUUCGACAUGCAAACCUGAUGGAUGUUGUUGCUUUACAUCAUAACGUUUGUUAGAGGUUUGGAAUGCCUCUUUGUCAACCAGAAUAAUAAUAAGAAUAAUAAUAAUAAUGUCAUAGAUAUGUGAUCAUUUUGUUU